UACGUAGGUGGCAAGCGUUGUCCGGAUUUAUUGGGCGUAAAGCGCGCGCAGGUGGUUCGUUGCGUCCGAGGUGAAAUCUCCCGGCUCAACUGGGAGGGGUCUUCGGAUACGGGCGGACUUGAGGAGAGCAGAGGUAGGCGGAAUUCUGGGUGUAGUGGUGAAAUGCGUAGAUAUCCAGAGGAACACCAGUGGCGAAGGCGGCCUACUGGGCUCCACCUGACACUGAGGCGCGAAAGCGUGGGGAGCGAAC
rnacentral:rRNA from 1 species